AUUGAACGCUGGCGGCAUGCCUUACACAUGCAAGUCGAACGGUAACGGGCCUUCGGGUGCCGACGAGUGGCGAACGGGUGAGUAAUGUAUCGGAACGUACCUUUCAGUGGGGGAUAACGUAGCGAAAGUUACGCUAAUACCGCAUAUUCUGUAAGCAGGAAAGCAGGGGAUCGCAAGACCUUGCGCUGAUUGAGCGGCCGAUAUCAGAUUAGCUAGUCGGUGAGGUAAAGGCUCACCAAGGCGACGAUCUGUAGCGGGUCUGAGAGGAUGAUCCGCCAAACUGGAACUGAGACACGGUCCAGACUCCUACGGGAGGCAGCAGUGGGGAAUUUUGGACAAUGGGGGCAACCCUGAUCCAGCCAUGCCGCGUGAGUGAAGAAGGCCUUCGGGUUGUAAAGCUCUUUCGGCCGGGAAGAAAUCGUAUCAGCUAAUACCUGGUGCGGAUGACGGUACCGGCAUAAGAAGCACCGGCUAACUACGUGCCAGCCGCCGCGGUAAGAC
rnacentral:rRNA from 1 species